CACACACACACCAAGCACAGGUACACACACACACACACACCAAGCACAGGUACACACACACACACACCAAGCACAGGUACACACACACACACACACAAGCACAGGUACACACACACACACACACCAAGCACAGGUACACACACACACACACACCAAGCACAGGUACACACACACACACACCAAGCACAGGUACACACACACACACACCAAGCACAGGUACACACACACACACACCAAGCACAGGUACACACACACACACACACCAAGCACAGGUACACACACACACACACACCAAGCACAGGUACACACACACACACACACCAAGCACAGGUACACACACACACACACACCAAGCACAGGUACACACACACACACACA